GACAGAGGAUGCAAGCGUUAUCCGGAAUGAUUGGGCGUAAAGCGUCUGUAGGUGGCUUUUUAAGUCCGCCGUCAAAUCCCAGGGCUCAACCCUGGACAGGCGGUGGAAACUACCAAGCUGGAGUACGGUAGGGGCAGAGGGAAUUUCCGGUGGAGCGGUGAAAUGACGUAGAUAUCGGAAGGAACACCAGUGGCGAAAGCGGCUUCCUGGUCCAGCACCGACGUCAGGCACGAAAGCGUGGGGAGCAAACAGG
rnacentral:rRNA from 1 species